rnacentral:rRNA from 1 species
GAAAGAACCAACAGGGAUUGCCUCAGUAACGGCGAGUGAAGCGGCAACAGCUCAAAUUUGAAAUCUGGCUCCCCUGGGGGCCCGAGUUGUAAUUUGUAGAGGAUGCUUCGGCGUGGGCCCCGGUCUAAGUUCCUUGGAACAGGACGUCACAGAGGGUGAGAAUCCCGUACGUGGCCGUGGGUGCUCGCCAUGUGAAGCUCCUUCGACGAGUCGAGUUGUUUGGGAAUGCAGCUCUAAAUGGGAGGUAAAUUUCUUCUAAAGCUAAAUACUGGCCAGAGACCGAUAGCGCACAAGUAGAGUGAUCGAAAGAUGAAAAGCACUUUGGAAAGAGAGUCAAAAAGUACGUGAAAUUGUUGAAAGGGAAGCGCUUGCAACCAGACCUGCCUGCGGUUGCUCAUCCGGGCUCCUGCCCGGUGCACUCUUCCGCAGUCAGGCCAGCAUCAGCUCUGGCGGUCGGAUAAAGGCGGCGGGAAUGUGGCUCCCCUCGGGGAGUGUUAUAGCCCGCCGUGCAAUGCGGCCAGCCGGGACUGAGGUCCGCGCUUCGGCUAGGAUGCUGGCGUAAUGGUUGUAAGCGGCCCGUCUUGAAACACGGACCAAGGAGUCUAACAUCUGUGCGAGUGUUUGGGUGUCAAGCCCAGGCGCGUAAUGAAAGUGAACGGAGGCGGGAACCUUCGGGUGCACCGUCGACCGAUCCUGAUGUCUUCGGAUGGAUUUGAGUAAGAGCAUAGCUGUUGGGACCCGAAAGAUGGUGAACUAUGCCUGAAUAGGGUGAAGCCAGAGGAAACUCUGGUGGAGGCUCGCAGCGGUUCUGACGUGCAAAUCGAUCGUCAAAUUUGGGCAUAGGGGCGAAA